rnacentral:rRNA from 1 species
GACUGUUAGAGUUUAAUCUUUAUUUGUGUUUUACCAUAAUGUUUUUUAGUUUGCUUAUAGUUAUUUUAGGUAAAAUUAAGAUCUUUUUUGGUGAUAAGUUAUGGUUUUAAUAUUUGGGGAGUGAAUUAGAUUAGUACCUAAUUAAUCAAAAGUUAAAAUUACAGGAGUAAAGUGGUAUUUAAACUGAAAGAAUAUUGGCAGAUUUUCUAAAUUAUCUUUGGAGGUUGAGUGGUAAUUGAGAACCCUCAUUAACAACUUGUCUAUUGGGCUUAUGUAUGAUCGUUUAUUUUACUUUUAAGAAGUAAGAUUUAUAAUUUUUUUGGUUAAAAAAAUAGAUAUAUAUUUGGUUUAUAGAUUAGAAUUAUUUGACCUACAUUAUUUUAGGAUUUUGGAUUAUUAGUGUAGUGUUAAUAUGAAAUUGUAAAAGACAGUAAAAGAAUCUUUAUGUUUUUUUGAAGAGUAUUUAGAAGUGGUACAAAUCAUCCAUC